AAGUAAGUGACUGAAAUGACAGGGGGAGGAAGAGAGAGAAAGGGCUAGCAGCAAGGAAUUUCCCAAACAGUCUUCCUGCCUCAAGCAAAGCAGGAACUGGAAGGGAGGCAUGGAAGAGGAGCCUGGAACAAUAUGCUGAGUAAACAGAGCAGGCUUCCUCUCUCUCGGCAGGAGAAGCCCCUUACCUUUGGCAAACCUCAUCAAUGUAAUGGAGCAAGGCAUUUCGUGCAAAUUAAAUGUGGGGAAAUUUAAGAAGCAGGACAGACAAAAUGGAAAAGAAUUCCCUGUCUGCAGAAGACCCUGAUGGACCGAGUUGGACGGACAGACGGAUGGAUGGAAGACGAGGAAGUACGAGAGGAACAGGAAGGAAAAAGUAAAAUAGAUAUAGCUUCAAAUGGAUGAGAGGAGUGCUAAGAAUUACAGCUAUCAUCCAGACCCACUGCUUGUUUCUAGCUCCAGAAAAAGAAAUUACUGGCAUACCUUAGCUGACAAAAGAUGAUGAAGGAGGACUAGAGAAACACAGACUUCUAGUAUCAACUUGCAAAGUAUGGAAAUCUACGCCCAUUUCAGUGUUGUUUGUUGCUAAAUUUUCUGUUAAAGAAUGGCGAGGAAGAUACCUACUUCAUUAAUGAAUGGCGAGGAAGAUACCUACUUCAUUAACUAUCAGGACAAUAGGAGAGUCAAUAGAUACAAAAGCUAUUAGCUGAACUGGAAUUUCUUCUCUUCUAGACAUCUGUGAAUCAGUUUCACAAGACAAACGCCCUCAAGAGGGCACAACAAAUCCUUUGAUGCUCUUAGAUUUUUAUGUAGCUCCUUAAAGGGUACACCCAAAGAUAGAAAGGAGGAAGACUUCCCACUGGUUUGUUUGACAGAUGAACAACUCAUGUUUCACAGCAUCAAAAUGGGAAUGUGCAGAAGUGUGCACUAGGAAAAAUCAGACUGCAUCACUGUCAAACUUCCAAUCUAUAACCAGGCUCCUAAUCCUCAAAGAAGGACUCUCACCUAUCCAAAAUCUGUAAAAUGGAGACAUGGAACAGUAUCAAUUAAAAGAAUACCAGUAUGGCCAAUAGGAUGCAAAUGAGUUAGGCCAUACUCUAAUGUACCAAGGGAAUUAUUCCAGUGACAAUAAAGCCUCUAGAUACCAUAAGCCACGCUUCCUAAAGCCUAGAGAGCAGCAAAGCAAGAAAGCAGAAAGGUCUAAGGAACUGAAUCUAAAAAAAUUCAUUUAUAACAAGCAGAUUUGAGAGAGAAACUUGAGGAGGAAUAAUAACGGAGAUGUAGAAAUAAACUAAGACUGAUUUUUACAUACUCAUCUGAAACAUCAGCUAAACCUCUAGCAUUUGGAGUUGUAUAGGAAAUGAGAAUUUGUCAUUAAUAUUGUAGCAUCUCUGGAGCAUCAGUCAAACCUGUAGCAACUGCUUUAAAAUUAACAUUCGCUUCUAAGAUACAUGAAUAUCACAUUUGGAAGCAUGUUAUCUGUGCCAAUACAAUGGACAAUGUUUACAAAAACAACUUAAUUUGCAUAAUAAUAAUUGUACUCGUCUAGAAGUAUUCAAGAAGAUACAGAGAUGGCAAGUGAAAGUGGUUAAAUAUAGGAUGGUUGAAACAAUACUUGAAAUGCCGUAGGCAAGGAACUGGUUCCGAUCAUGACACUUGUCAAUCUUUUCAGAAACGAGCUUGUUUAAUCUGGAAAUUUAUACAAAGAACUUAAUAUUUACUAAUAAGCAAUUAACUGUAAAACACUCUGAGAUUAGUUAAUGAGGGCAGCUCAGUCAUGUGAGAGACUGAAUUACAACUCUCCAUGUGAACAAAGUCCCUUUAACUAAUGGAACUCGCUAAAAUAUCCUAUGUCAAAUCUAUGUCCCCUAGCAGCUGUUUAGUCCAGGGAAGCACAGCUGUCUAAACUUUAUUGGCACUAAAUGUCAUCCUUGCACACAAAUUGGAUGCCUGGAAAACCCAAAGGCGCAUCUUGGUCCGUUAGUGCGAUCAUAUACAAUCACGUUCCCCAAUAAGAUGUGAAAACUGAAAUGGGAAACGUCAACAAACCCUGGCUGCAGCGUGGACUAGGGCAAGCUACAGUGACAAAAAUUUACUUUGAGUUGUAAUUAGUGACACUGUCAUUUUCGUUUGCUCCUGCCAAUUAAUUUAGCCUGUCAAAUGGAAAAACAGCAACAUGCACAUGAUAAUUUAUAUAUGGGGAGAAGGCUCUCACAAAGCUGUAGCUGCAGCCAGCAAAAUUCCCUUGGAGCACUUAAAAAAUAAAAUGAAGGGAAUGGGGGUGUGCAUGGGGGUGGGCGGAAAGAAAGUUAAACUGUCCUUGUUAUAAUUGUUAAUGCUGAUCGCUCAAGUAGAAGACGGGCUGAUUAAAACUCCAAACGAGCCUCUAGCUCGCCUAUAUCUCAGAGUCCGGAAUGAUAGAAUCAGAGGAGUUUAUUCAUACCAUUAAACCCCAGAGAACUUAAUUGAAAGAAGAGCACAGCCCGGACCUUGACAAGCGGGAGGUCACAGUAAUUGCUGCCGGACAUAUUUAACAUUAAGAUAAUCAGGCCAUUAAUUACCCUUUGGAUCAUUAAAUCAGCCAGUUGCAAAAUGAAAUUUCUGCCUCUAUUACUCACUUGAGAGACCACAGGGGUGGCUUUUAAUUUAUCAGUGAGCUUGAGAUACAAAGGACCAGGCAUGGGGAAGGAGAAAAGGGGGAGAAGCUGGGGGGGGGGGGAUUGCUUCAGCAGAGGCAGGAAUAUCAAUCCGCCAUGCUUGGUGAUUGUGGCAAAUUAACUAGGUAAGAUAACCUCGGCUUCUAAAGGCAGAAGCUGGGGGUAUGUAAAUAGAUGAGGGCAGACAGGGAGAUCAGAAGCUGCACACCACUUAGCAGGAUAAUAAAGGAAAUCAUCCUUGAUUAUCAGUGCUAAUUUGGACACUGCCGGUAGCUUGUUAUGCGUGUUCUGAGUAGCAUUUAAUUAAUUCAAUUGCUUGUUAAUGAGGGAAGUGACAUGUGGGGAGCAGAUGCCACCCAACUGCAGAUGGGUUCUGGUCAACCCAUCACAAUAAAAUCUUUUUAAAAAAUCUCCCUCACCCCUAAAAUGGGAAAGGUGUCAAGCACAGAAGAGCAUUCAAAAGGGACAGAACACUGACCUCAUCAGGCAAAGAGAUGGUAAGAAAUAAUAAAGCCUGACAACAGUGGCUAUACAGGUACUAAUGUUCCCAGAGGCUAUAUUUGUAAUAGUACUUACAUCCUUAUGCCAGGAAUUGAAGACUAACAUGACUACAGCUGUAAUUUUACGAUCUGAUUUAACAAGGCAAAGAAAGGUCACAAUGCAACUGUUUACCUCUGCGCUACAGGCACUAGAGAUUCUGCAGUUUUGCCAGCGUGACCGUUCUUGCUAUUAUAUACCAAUUAGAAAUAGGUAAGCGUGAAUUCCAUCCUAGACAGGCUCAGGAUUGCUAUAGUUCAGUAUCUGCCUAAAGCUGCAGGUGGACAGCAGGCAAACGGCAAGGAAAAAGGAGGGCCAGGUCCACAGCCCAGGGCAACUGAAGAGCCUCUACUCCUUCUCCAUAAAAUGGCAGUAGCACCAGCAGUAGUGUUAAAGAGUAAAGUCUUCUUACUAUUCAUCUAGUAUGCAUUUGCCUGCACUGACUAUUAAAAUGGCGUCUGGGCUGGAGGGGACAACAGGCACCUAGCAUGGCUGCCUUUCAAUGGUUGCUGCUGUCUUCCUGCUAACCUCAGCCUGGUGACUCUUUGUGUGUGAGAAAGCCCUUGGUUUCCAGAAACUCAGAAGGGAAACAGAAGGAAGUACAUUUAGUGCCAGCCCCUGUGGUCAAGAUUUGUCCUAACCUGCUGAGGAGUCUAAGUGCUGGUUGUCCCUAUCAGAGGCCAGACAAAAGUCAGAGCUCUGAUAUCUGCUGUUGCUACAGCCUCACCACUGCCUACGCCAGCACCAGCAUUCAUUUGCUUGCUUGGGAUUAGGAAGCAAGAAGAAGCUUUAAUCCCUACUGCUCCCUUGAGGACUCUAGUCUGCAGCAUCUUCCUUUCAGCAGUUGGCCUGUAUUUCCAACACUGCACAAAAACUUUGCUAUCCAGAGUAAUUACCACACUAUGACUUAAAUCCUACUUUAUUCCUAACUGGAUAAAAGCCACUAAUUUAUUUGGAUUUAUCUAUGUGUUGAGUUACAAUUCAACAAAAUUGGUUGGGACUAAUCAACAGGAUUUGAGCCUAUGAAGGCAGAAUAUUUUUUUCUUUUAAAAAUGGAGUUGGAAGGUUAAAAAACAGGAGUCUGUAUACAUAGUUGCCUUUGGAAGUGAUCUACUCGUAGCUCCUUGUCCUCUAUGUUGUCCAUAUAAUUCUCUUCAAAGAUGGCUUUCUUCUACCUUCCAAUCAGCCCAACCUUGUUGCUCCAAGGUAUUCACUCCCAUCCCUUUUUAUUUCUACUUAAACUGUAGUUGAUAGUUUUCUUUCUCUUUUUCCUCUAAACUAAAAGAAAAUCUAACGGCAGAUAAUGAGGAAAUAAUUUGGAAAUAAUUAUCGGCUGUUUCAUUAUUUCAUGAUUUUAAUUAAUGUGAAAUUUUAAUCGUUUUGUUGUUUAACGUGCUUGGAUUUGUUUUCAAGGAUUUCUACUACUUGCUUUGAACAGAUGGACAAAAACAUAGGAAAUGUAUAAUAACCCGAACAAAGAGGGUGGUUGCUUAGUCAAAGUGAACCAACAUGGGUUUAAGUUCUCAUUCAUAUGGCAGAUCUUACCAGGAAAGCACUACAUUGCACAGAGAAUGAAUUGGAAUAUAGGAAUGAUAAAAGGGGAGGGUGAAAAGCUACAUGUUUUUGCUGAAAGCAAAUUAUACUAAAGAGAGCCUUGUUGAUUCCAUUUGUGCUCACUGCUGAAGAUCUUUUUAUUUAGAAGUCUAUGUGGAUGGGAUAAUACAUUAUUGCAUGCACUCAUACUGCUUCCUUCAGAAACAUUCUAACAUUUUGAUUAUGAAAAGACACGAGCUCCUAAAUACUCCAAACUGUACAUGUAAAGGAAGAAUAAUAAAAUUCUGCAAAUCUG